GCACGCUCGAUGCGAGACAGCGCGUGCUUUCAUGCGUGCGGAGAUCGGAGGAAGCGGCACCAGGACUACGGUCAGUCCUGGACGUCCACGUCGUCCUGGUCGUCGUAGGCGUCACCGCGAUCUGUCCCCGCGGCUGCCCGAGACCAGUUCAGAAAGUGGUUACGGACGUUGUGGUGCUCAGCCACCGCCGCCGCGGCCGCUGCCGAUGCCGCCGACCACGCGGCACACGCACGCACGUACACACGCGUGAUAAGCGCGUGAGUGCGACAGAGACGAACGGCUACCGAGAGCGACCGACCGCGGACGAGGACCCACGAUCGUAGCUCGAGGCGUCCUGGCGCGCAGCCGAUUGGUCGACUAUCCGAGGAAGUGGUCACCGCCGACAGGGUUCAGACCGGGUCGCCACGUGAGUCGAGUGCAGCAUCGCGAGACAGAAUAGCGCGCGCGAAAUCUCGAUCUUUUGGAGGACUCGCGAGAAUUCCUUCCACUUUGGGACAAAAAGACUGAAGAUCGACCUCGGCAGUUGAUGUUUCAGUGAUCGAAGAGGGACGUCACGGGUCGCGGGAAUCAACCGUGAUCCGAAAGUGUCCUGGUGUGCGGUACCAAACGCGCGCGAACUUGGAGAACGCGAUGAGAUCGCUCGAAGAGACUUUCAGAUUAGGAAUAACGCGUUUUACAAUUCGGACGGAAGGUCACGCUAUUUCGGAGCAGUGUGGGUCUUCUACUUCCGACGAUGUUCGUUGUAGAAGAGAGAAAUCGUAUUAACGAAGAUCUCGCAACGUUUCCAUUAAAACGGAAUUAACAGAAAUUGUGUGAUCAAGAGAGGAACUUAUGAACAUAUCGUCAAACUCACGUGACUUCGAUUACUUGCCGAGUCACGUUCGUGAUAGAGAGGCGGAGUUGUGUCUUUAAAGACUUUGAUACGCCAACUAAUCCUGAGGAUUAUGAAAAGUCGUUUCGAGCAUUUGCACGUUUCGAGAGAUCGAAUCAGACUGUUCUCGUAUUCUUUCCUGCUUUGCAGUACUAAAACUUAGCAUAUUUAUAUAUUAUUCGUGUACAGAUAGUUAACAGCAAACGACCGAUUUAUCAAUCGGCGUUUUCCCGAAAGUUUCAAGUUAGAACGAGGAACGCAAAUGUAACGCUGAUUGACGCUCCGACUUCGCCAUCGAUUUACUUAAUUUUUGACACGGUCCAAGGAGACCGACACGUUGACGUUGCCGCGCUCGCCACGUGAGUGAUCGAUCGCGACCUAGGGCAACGCUGCGCACGCCGUUCCCCUUGUCGAGUUUGACAUUUCGAGCGAAGCUCGAAGAAGCGCGUACGGCAUCGCUCUUUGAUUCAACCGGAAGCGAACUCGCACUACGAGUUUCCGGCGAAGAUGGAAGAUCAAUUCGGCGAGAGUAAUCGAGGAUCGAAGAACGAGACUCGGGUCGAUACGGUACGCGCGCUGUCUUCGUGAAUGAGCCAUUUGCUUCGAGUUAAUUUCUAUUUCGUGAUCGCCGAUACUUGUCGAGAGACGAUAUAAUCGCGCGGUGCUGAAAUAAACGCGCGCAAGAAACUUACCGCGGAUUUCGCGAAGUUGGGACGACGAAGAACCCGCACGCCUCGCGUAAAGGUUGCACGGUGAAACUCAAAAUGCGACGAAUGAUUAUAUCGUUAACUUGGAUUAUCAACGCGCGGUGAGCGUAGAAACGAUUUACCGGGGUGAUUAUUGUCCGAGCGCGCACGGAACGAACAUUUUGCAAGGAUCUCGCAAGUGUCGCGAGAUGUUGACACGAGUUCCGGUCCGCAUGACAGCCGAGAUCGCGAAUCUUGAGAACGUUAGCAACUUCUCUAACGGGGGAAAAACCGCGGGAAUUGCAUCGCCAAAUACGCGUUGUCCGCGAUUAAUCGAGACGAUGAUACGUCAAGGACCGCAGUGACACGGUGAACUCGUCGGUGAGAAUCAGAGGGUGGAGGAGGAAAGUAAAAAGGUGGUGCGUGCUUCGAGGAAGUAACGAGAAACUCCGACCGCGAGAGAGGUGUAGCGGGCAUUUAAAGACUGUCGCAACUUGGAUCAAGUUGGAUUCGUGUCUCUAGCAUGUCGCCCUUUCCUCUUGGGAUUUCGAUAUUUUCGCGAUACUCUCCUUCUGAGGGCGUAAGGAGGACCGAAGAAGUGUAGAUGAGUUAUACUAUCGGCGUCCUCGAACGAGUUUCCAGUUCUAUGCUGGCGAAUUUAUUCGGU